UAGAAAAGCGCGACACGUGCGCUUGUUGCCCGUGCGUCGCGCGUCUUCCGCUCCGCCGUGUGUUCCGCCGAUACGCCACGUGGGUGAGCGUGUAGAAACCCGAUGGAGAGUUAGACUCUCCAGUUAGGCAUAGUCGUGUCGAGGGAAUCGUCGCGAACAAUGUGAGCCUGUUCCAGGUUCGGGUGUUCCUAAGCGACCCCGAGAUUCCGACGUGACACUGACCAGCUUCGUGAUGAAUUUCAACGCUGCCUUCGCUCCGGACCCUGUUUCUCGUGCCAUUAAUGAGCCAGUCGAUUCUUUGUAGGUGUGGUUCUAUCUGGGUUGGAGUUUGAGCGCACAUUUUCAGUAAUUUGGCGGUGUUUGGAGUUGUGAGGAAUUUUGCAAGCUGCGAAAAAUUUUUCAGUUUCAUAUUAAACAUUUCCUUGAAACGUCACAAAUUCUUUUUCUUUGUUAAAAUGAGAACGAGAUUGAAAUACAAAGAUUUGAGGAUCGCAGCAGAGUUAAAAUUCUUCGACCAAACAAGGACAAAAAUUCACGACUCGUCAUCGUGCCAUCAAACGUUCAUCCGUUCGCCAUAAUCACCCAUAAUUACCAUCUAUCAGAACGUGACGUCUGCAUUAAGCCGAUGUCAAUGACAAUUAAAAGUCUUUGGAAGCAAGGCUAUCAACGAGACGAUUAUUCAUCGGCCUUCGAAAGCGGUUACUUAUCCGAAACAAUUCACAGUAUACUGCACAGAAACAAGAAAUUCGAGCUCUGUUCGAUUCUGAAAUCGCGUGUAUCAUGCCACUAGUACAGAUACGCAGAGAUGAACACACGAGGCGAAACGUGGCGAAUACGAGAGCCAAAUAAGCCGAAAGCACGCCAUUAGCGUAUGUAAAUAUCUCGUUCGGACAGGAAUCAAUUACCUUGGUCGUCCUCCUGCGAUCCUUGCGCCGUUCCAUGCAUAGCAAUGAAGUCAGAAGAUGAGGAACCAACGGAAAGCACCGGUCAAACGAUGGACAGGAAAACCACUUAAAGCGUAAUUGCGCGUAAAACGUUCGAUAAUUCUGCGAACUAUAGCGGAGGUGUGAACGCGAGAAUUUUAAUUUACCAGCCUUUAAAUUUCACGUAAUCGUUGUUGACAGUUAAUUCGAUGGAAGUAUUUUGCCGAAUGCAUUUUGGUACAGACAACGAAUGAUGAAUAGGCUGUGAAUGAUUCUGGAUUUACAUAGGUUAGAUACUGUGACAAGUGCAGAUAAAUACGUGAACAUGCGUUAUCCCAGGCCAUAAAUCUUAGGACAUGUACAAAUAAUUUGAUGUUCAAAUUGAACGUCCUCCAUUG